UGGGGAAUUUUGGACAAUGGGCGAAAGCCUGAUCCAGCAAUGCCGCGUGUGUGAAGAAGGCCUUCGGGUUGUAAAGCACUUUUGUCCGGAAAGAAAUCCUUGGCUCUAAUACAGUCGGGGGAUGACGGUACCGGAAGAAUAAGCACCGGCUAACUACGUGCCAGCAGCCGCGGUAAUACGUAGGGUGCAAGCGUUAAUCGGAAUUACUGGGCGUAAAGCGUGCGCAGGCGGUUUGCUAAGACCGAUGUGAAAUCCCCGGGCUCAACCUGGGAACUGCAUUGGUGACUGGCAGGCUAGAGUAUGGCAGAGGGGGGUAGAAUUCCACGUGUAGCAGUGAAAUGCGUAGAGAUGUGGAGGAAUACCGAUGGCGAAGGCAGCCCCCUGGGCCAAUACUGACGCUCAUGCACGAAAGCGUGGGGAGCAAAACAGGAUUAGAUACCCUGGUAGUCCACGCCCUAAACGAUGUCAACUAGUUGUUGGGGAUUCAUUUCCUUAGUAACGUAGCCAACGCGUGAAGUUGACCGCCUGGGGAGUACGGUCGCAAGAUUAAAACUCAAAGGAAUUGACGGGGUCAUAGCUGUUUCCU
rnacentral:rRNA from 1 species